UACGGAAGGCAGCAGUGGGGAAUAUUGCACAAUGGGCGCAAGCCUGAUGCAGCCAUGCCGCGUGUAUGAAGAAGGCCUUCGGGUUGUAAAGUACUUUCAGUCGUGAGGAAGGUGUUAAGGUUAAUAACCUUAGCAAUUGACGUUAGCGACAGAAGAAGCACCGGCUAACUCCGUGCCAGCAGCCGCGGUAAUACGGAGGGUGCGAGCGUUAAUCGGAAUUACUGGGCGUAAAGGGCACGCAGGCGGUUAAUUAAGUUGGAUGUGAAAUCCCCGGGCUUAACCUGGGAAUGGCAUUCAAGACUGGUUAGCUAGAGUCUUGUAGAGGGGGUAGAAUUCCGAUGUGUAGCGGUGAAAUGCGUAGAGAUGUGGAGGAAUACCGGGUGGCGAAGGCGGCCCCUGGGACAAAGACUGACGCUCAUGUGCGAAAGCGUGGGGAGCGAAACAGGAUUAGAUACC
rnacentral:rRNA from 1 species